CCUACGGGUGGCAGCAGUGAGGAAUAUUGGUCAAUGGGCGCGAGCCUGAACCAGCCAAGUAGCGUGAAGGAUGACUGCCCUACGGGUUGUAAACUUCUGUUAUAAAGGAAUAAAGUGAGGCACGUGUGCCGUUUUGUAUGUACGUUAUGAAUAAGGAUCGGCUAACUCCGUGCCAGCAGCCGCGGUAAUACGGAGGAUCCGAGCGUUAUCCGGAUUUAUGGGGGUUAAAGGGAGCGUAGAGGGGUUGUUAAGUCAGUUGUGAAAGUUUGCGGCUCAACCGGAAAAUUGCAAUUGAUACGGGCAGCCUUUCGUACAGUUGUGGUAGGCGGAAUUCGUGGUGUCGCGG
rnacentral:rRNA from 1 species